GGGCAAGCCAUGGGACUGGAAGGCAGCAGGCAGAUGUCAGGGUUGGGGAUUACUGGCUCAGAAGCAGCCCAAGGGAAAGACCAGGCAAGAGUAGGGGUGAAGAAAUCUCAUGUAGAAGCCCAGAACUUUCAAGAGAUAAGAAGUAGAGAGAUUCUGGUUUAAAGAGAGAUGACAGAAGCCCUGAAUGUCCUCUCUUCUGCUCCCCCAGAUACCUUCAUGGACUACAGGGCUGUACAUACGUGGGUGAAAAAUUGUUACUUUUUAUGUACUUCCAGACUGUUGAAGUUUAUAACUAAAAAUAAACCAAUAGGAAAGCUAGCCAUGCCAUAGUGGCUACAUGCAUGGGAUGUGAAGCCACACUUCCUGAGUUUGAAUCCCAGCUCUGCCUCAUCUUAAAAGUGUGAUCAUAGAGAGGGUCAUGGGAUACAUGAACUUCAGGC
rnacentral:lncRNA from 10 species